CUCCGAAUGCCAAUUAAUUUAACUUGGGAGUCAGAACAUGGGUGAUAAGGUCCGUGUUCGAAAGGGAAACAGCCCAGACCACCAGCUAAGGUCCCAAAAUAUAUGUUAAGUGGAAAAGGAUGUGGCGUUGCCCAGACAACUAGGAUGUUGGCUUAGAAGCAGCCAUCAUUUAAAGAGUGCGUAAUAGCUCACUAGUCGAGUGACACUGCGCCGAAAAUGUACCGGGGCUAAACAUAUUACCGAAGCUGUGGAUUGUCCUUUGGACAAUGGUAGGAGAGCGUUCUAAGGGCGUUGAAGCAUGAUCGUAAGGACAUGUGGAGCGCUUAGAAGUGAGAAUGCCGGUGUGAGUAGCGAAAGACGGGUGAGAAUCCCGUCCACCGAUUGACUAAGGUUUCCAGAGGAAGGCUCGUCCGCUCUGGGUUAGUCGGGUCCUAAGCUGAGGCCGACAGGCGUAGGCGAUGGAUAACAGGUUGAUAUUCCUGUACCACCUAUAAUCGUUUUAAUCGAUGGGGGGACGCAGUAGGAUAGGCGAAGCGUGCGAUUGGAUUGCACGUCUAAGCAGUAAGGCUGAGUAUUAGGCAAAUCCGGUACUCGUUAAGGCUGAGCUGUGAUGGGGAGAAGACAUUGUGUCUUCGAGUCGUUGAUUUCACACUGCCGAGAAAAGCCUCUAGAUAGAAAAUAGGUGCCCGUACCGCAAACCGACACAGGUAGUCAAGAUGAGAAUUCUAAGGUGAGCGAGCGAACUCUCGUUAAGGAACUCGGCAAAAUGACCCCGUAACUUCGGGAGAAGGGGUGCUCUUUAGGGUUAACGCCCAGAAGAGCCGCAGUGAAUAGGCCCAAGCGACUGUUUAUCAAAAACACAGGUCUCUGCUAAACCGUAAGGUGAUGUAUAGGGGCUGACGCCUGCCCGGUGCUGGAAGGUUAAGAGGAGUGGUUAGCUUCUGCGAAGCUACGAAUCGAAGCCCCAGUAAACGGCGGCCGUAACUAUAACGGUCCUAAGGUAGCGAAAUUCCUUGUCGGGUAAGUUCCGACCCGCACGAAAGGCGUAACGAUUUGGGCACUGUCUCAACGAGAGACUCGGUGAAAUCAUAGUACCUGUGAAGAUGCAGGUUACCCGCGACAGGACGGAAAGACCCCGUGGAGCUUUACUGUAGCCUGAUAUUGAAAUUCGGCACAGCUUGUACAGGAUAGGUAGGAGCCUUUGAAACGUGAGCGCUAGCUUACGUGGAGGCGCUGGUGGGAUACUACCCUAGCUG
rnacentral:rRNA from 1 species